UCCGCCAUCGGCGGGUCGGAGAGCUGGUGCUCGGGGUGCGCCGGCGCGAAGCCGCAGGCGAGCAGGACCCGGUUCUGGUCGCGCAGCGGGAC
rnacentral:tRNA from 1 species